CUGAGGUACGCUCGGUGUCGCUUCGGCGCGCCGGUUGCCCGCCCUUAUGUCAUACGUGCCGGAGUCGUUCCUCCCUGCUCUCGGGCGGGUUGGGCGACGACGGGAACAUCACUUCGGUCGAGGUGUUGCGUCCAGGGGGGGGUUUCCCCCCCUCUGGCGCGACCGCGGCCGGCCGUAUCUUUACACUCUUUGUGAGAGCAUGAAGUCUGAAGCAAAAUGAAAUAAAGCAA
rnacentral:misc_RNA from 1 species